GGUUAAUUAUGAAUUGUAAUUUUGACUACCAUUGGAAACGUGGAUCAAUCCCAGAGAAAAUGAAUUGAAUAUUCUUGAAAAUUGUUUCACUUAUCUAUGAGUAGUAGCCUAGUACAACAUUGCCAAAUUUACUUUGGGAAGUGUGUUUAUGAGUUAGACCAAAAUUAGCCCAGCCAUCUAGUUUGCAGCUCAGUUUAUACUAUUGUGAGGUCUUGCUUGCUAACUUUAUCUGACUUUGAGGAGAUGGCAGUGAUGUGACAGAACAAGAAAACAGAGCAUUUUGGCAACUGAUGUUUGCUAAGCAGUGGACAGUGUAAUUGAAAUAUGGCUGUUGAGAAACCAAAGUCAAUGAUCACCAAAGACUAAAAAUGUUUUGCCAAACUUUAGGUUCAAAGUAUGUAUGGACCCAAGCAACAAUUGCAU